GGGGAGGAAGGAAGGAAGAGAGGGAGUGAGAGAAAGUGACAGGAAAGCACGAAGGAAGGGAGGAAGGAAGUCAGGAGGGCAGAAUGGAAAGAAGGAAGUAAAGGAAGAGAGUAAAGACUGUAGGGAGGGACAAAGGCAGGCAGGAAGGAAGGCAGGCAGGCAGAGAGGAAGGGAGGAAGAAAGGAAAGGAAGGGGGGGGAGGGAGGUAGGUAUGAAGAGAGGGAGUGAGAGAAAGUGACAGGAAAGUACGAAGGAAGGGAGGGAGGAAGUAAAGGAAGAGAGUAAAGACUGGAGGGAGGGAGGAAGGCAGGCAGGCAGAGAGGGAGGGAGGAAGAAAGGAAAGGAAGGGGAGGAGAAGGGGAGGGAGGUAUGAAGGAAGGAAGGAAGAGAGGGAGUGAGAGAAAGUGACAGGAAAGCACGAAGGAAGGGAGGAAGGAAGUCGAAGGAAGAAUGGAAGGAAGGAAGUAAAGGAAGAGAGUAAAGACUGGAGGGAGGGAGGGAGGCAUGGGGGGAGGGAGGAAGGCAGGAAGGAAGGCAGGCAGGCAGAGAAGGAGGGAGGGAGGAAGAAAGGAAAGGAAGGGGGGGAGAAUGGGAGGGAGGUAGGUAUGAAGGAAGUGGGGGAGGAAGGAAGGAAGAGAGGGAGUGAGAGAAAGUGACAGGAAAGCACGAAGGAGGGGAGGAAGGAAAAAAGGGAGGACGGGAGGGAGGAAGGAAGGAAGGGAGAAAGGCAGGAAGGAAGGGAGGGAGGAAGGAAGGAAGAUAGGGAGGGAGGGAGGAAGGAUUACUUUUCAGAACUGCUCUCACCCUAGUUUUAUGUUCCCCAGGUAAAUUCAUAUUUGUAAAUCUUUUCUCCUGAGCUGAAGUACAGCCCUUCCAACCAGCCAUUAUAGUGCAAUUUGUUUCCUACCAAUUGUUCUUUUUUCAUUGUUGUUGCUGUUUUUUUAAAAAAACUUAAGGGAAAAAAGCAAUCUCUCUCCCAGUUGGUUCUUUCUUUUCAAAGUGUGUGGGCCUUUUUGGUUGUUUUUUUGUUGUUGUUGUUGUAGUUCUGUUCUUUUUUGUUGUUGUUGUUGUUUUAAACUCAGCUGUUGCUUGCAGUCUUUCCAGUCAGCUUGAAUGAUUAAUGUGGUGCCACUGACUUGUUCUGUGUUUUAUUAAAAAAAAAAAAAUGCACGAUUCAUGUUUUCCAAAGAGCCAUUUAGGUAUCUCUGAUAGACCACACCAUGUAUGUUUUAAAUUCUUUGUGUGCUCAAUCAAAAUGUACGCAAAAAGGAAGCGUUUCCACAGAGAUGAAUAGAACAGUCAAGGUUAGAGACACAGGCUAAAAAAAAACAGUGCCUCUCAGUGAGCUGUGUAUUAGACUGUAAUCAUGACAAAGCCAGGUCUUAAUAUCCUACAUUCAUUUAAGGGAGGAGAUUUGUUUUUAUGCCUACUAUUUAUUUAGCUUGCCUAAAUUCAGUUUGAAUAGCAAAACAACUUUCCUGGUUUAGCUGCACUACCAAGUCAAGGUCAUUCCCCUUAGAGAAAGAUCAAGAUCCUUUAUAAGGGGAAAAAAAAAAUGACUCUCACACCAAUUGAUCUGCUGAACAUCAUUAGAGAAGGGUAAGAGAUAAUCUAAACAUGGUCCGUGCUUCAUUGACUCACAUGGGUGCUUUUUGAGUGUGAAACAGAAGGAAGUUAUGCAAUUACCUUGAGAGAAAAAACAUUCCUUUAGCAGUAUUUGGAAAUAAAAUAGGGUUGGGAAGGGGGAAGAAUCCUGAAGGGCUCUUACAGGCUGUGUGUUUGUGAGUCAAUAAAGGAGUAAAAAAAUGCAACUCUAUUGAUUUACAUUAUGUGCUACUUCCCAGGUGAGAGUUCAGCCUUUUAUAAUGUUUUUCAUCCAAUGUUUUCAUAUUUUCUAUAGAAGCUUGAUAGCACUUAAUAGCAUGUACUUAUUUAGAAAUAAUAACUGUUUGUGCUUAAAUUCAUUAUGCUAAGACAUGCCUCUUGCUCAGAGGCUCCUUGGACAAGCGUACAGAAACUACCACCAGCGAGUUUAACUUCUGCAGGAGCCAGAUCUUGUGUUAUAGAAUCCCACAAAACCAAAACCAUUGUAUUGAUUGCUGUGAAUUUAUGGGAGAGGAAAAAUAUAUCUUAGAAAUAAUAAAUAUUAUAGUAAAACCCCUUUUUCCUGUCUCAUUUGGCUCAACCACGCUCUGAGCACACUGAUGCAGCUGUAGAUGUCUCUGUUCAUUGCAGGGUGGUUGGACUACGUGACCUUUAAAAGUCCCUUCCAACUCAAACAACUCCAUGACUUUGUGACUCUAUCCUAUGAUUGCUGACUCUGGGUGCAGCUCCCCAUACCUCCUUUCCC
ensembl:lncRNA